rnacentral:lncRNA from 1 species
AGAGGGACUCGGAAGCCCAAGAACUGAACAAGAAGAUACAUGAACUCGAAGGCAAGAUAGAGUCUUACGAGGAAGAGCUCCGUGUAGCUGCCGCCUCUGCAGAGAUUCACAGGGGCGAUCUCGAUGGAGCUCUGGCAAAACUGAGGGCGCUGGAGGGGAUCAUCGAGGAAGAAAAAGGCAGCUCAAGCCGAUUGGAGUCCGAAAAUACGUAUCUAGCUGAGACAAAUCUCAAGCUCACCGAAGAACUCGCAGCAUAUGAGGUGAAAACGAGUGAUCUGCAAAGAACACUGGCGGCUCUCCAGGAAGGCACCGAG